AUUAUUAUUAUUAUUAUUAUUUGUAUGGUAGUCAACUGCUUGGCACUGUGCUUAAAUGGAGAUCAGAAGACAACUUGUUGGGGUCAGUGAUCUCUUUCCACUGUCCAGGUACUGGGGAUUGAACUCAGAUUGUCAGGUUUGGCAGAGGAGUCUGUACCAGAUGAACCAACUCAGCCUCUGUUUAAAGACCUUCCUCAUCCCCCUGACUAUAAGAUGAACCCGUAUCUGCGUUGCUCUUAGAACUGGUGAAAUAUGGGUUGGUAGCAUCCAUUGACCGAAUUAGAGCAAUGCGCACUGGAAGUCUGCGGAGUGUAUACCUGAUUGCUUGGAUUUAUUGAAGUGUGACUGUUUUGGUUCUUAGAGCAUGUAAACAUGUGACAAAACAUGUGACAAAUGGCUUUUAAUUAGAGCUCUCCUUCCACGAGUAAAGCACACAUACAUACACCAGAAUGCACUGGACUUAACACCAAAUUAUGGGAGAAAGAUUUCUGGCUCCCGUUACCUAAUGUCCUAUUAGCUUUGUAAUCAGUUCUCCGCCACUGACCUCCCCACACCCCCACCCCCACUCCCCAGAUACCAGCUAUUUGGUGGCCCCUAGUAAGUCAGUACUCAGUGUUCCUUCCCUCCGCUCUCCUUGUAGUUGCAUGAACAGAGAGGCAGAAUUGUUUUGCAAACAAGUCCUACCUUAGAAUAAUCAACUAAUGGUCUUUAUUGGAAAGGAUAUUAGAUCUUUCACAUUUUGAAUUAAGGCAGAUCUUUAUUUUAUUCCAUUAAAUGCAAGCCAUUCGGCCUGAGAGUGUAAUAUCUGCUAAUGCAUUUCUGCUCCUACACACCUGCACAACAUAAAACCUCACAUCUACAAAAUGGUAUGUAUGGGGUAUGGAUGAAAAGAUUUACCUCCACUUCUUAAUGUGUUCCCAUAGCACAGAGGGAGGAAAACCUGGAUGGAAAUUAGUGUCACGAAUCGGGCUUGGCACUGUUUUCCAGGAUUCGUGCUUGGCUUUGACUGUAGAAACUGACUGUAUGAGCCCCUCUGGCUUUGAGCAUUCAGUUCCAAUAAACACAAGUGGGGGAAGCCUUCUUGUUAAUUUUGUUGACUGGAAAGUGCUCUGGGAAACUGACUGCCCUGUUUUCAGUUCCACCCUUCAUUGGGGCUGAUUUUGCUUCCCCCAACCCCUUGCACUCCAUCUUUGGUGCUGAGGAAAGUAUAUGGAAACUGGACUAGAAGACAGCUGUAUUCCAACAGUAGUAAUCCUUAGGUUUUGGUUGUGAGCCUUAGCCUUUAACAAGGACCGAUUUAUCUCUCCAGACCAAUAUAUUGAAUUCUUAUUAGAAAAAUAUUAAGCAGGGUAAGUGAAAGCUGUCACUUAUUUUCACGGUUAGAAUACAGAGAGACCAGAAACAUAUAUUUCUAAUAAUUUCACCACUUUCUCAUCCCUCACAACCAACAGGCUCACAUCAGCUCUUUAUACCCACGCCAUUCAAUGCCCACACAUUUUCCCUUUACUCUUGAGAACAAGGAGAAAACGAGAGUCUGCACGGGCCACAUAGAUAUGAAGCAUUAACUGUAGCUUCUGCUCCGUUUCCCCAGACAGAGGCCGGGCACACCCUCCAAGAUCUGUGUAAUCCGUGCAUGCACACAGCUCCUCCCAAUCCAGGAGAGGCAGCCGCCAGGUGGCAGCGCUGAGCCUGCCUGAGCCUGCCUGAGCCUGCAGCGAUGUAGGAAAACGUGGGGGAAGAUCCAACCGUCUCUUCUAGUCUCCUGAACCAGCGAACCCCUAACACUUCUCCGGGUAGCGGUUUAAAGGGCCAGUGGGAAACUAGGUGCGCUGGUGAAUUCUGGGCCGCUCCCCGCUCCGGCCCCCCGCCGUAAGUCAAAGUUUAGGGUAACCAACUGCUGCCCCCUGUUUGCUCGUCGGAAACCCUCCAAUGGCCGAGAAAGGAGAGACGCCCGAUUGCGGAUCUGGUAACCUCACUUCGGAGGUCACGGGUCAUCUCCCUCGGGCGAGUAGGAGCGAGAAUGCAGUUUCUCCGCCAGCUGCGGGCUCUCCUUCGGCGGCGGCAGAGACACACAGCGCAUGACCAAAGGAGUCCCAGAGGCCACCCCUGCUCCUGAAAAGAAAUGGUUUCCGUGGCCCGGCACGCCUCGCGGAGCUCAGCAACAGAGGGGUCCUGCCCAAGCUCGCCUGGGAUUCCCGGUGCACUGGCCUCGCCUUGCCUUUCUCUGACUCUUAACUGGGAGGAGCCAAACUGCAAUGGACUUGGAUGGUGCUUUUCGGAGGAAAGUCUUUCCUACUGUAAACGUGGCUCGGGCGAUGCUCGCAGAGGCGUUUCACCACUAUAUUCUGAGGAGGCUCACGGACAGACAGGGGCUGUCCGUGUCCCCCCACCCCCCAUCCAUUCCAGCUCCAGGGCCUCCUUUCAAGUGGCAGCUCGAGCAGCCACUCCCAGAGAGGGGAUCUUGUCCAGUCCCUCCCCCUGCCGCGCCCCUCCCCCGAUUCCAGACUGGUCCUAGCGGCUGGGGCCCAGUUCCGCCACUGACCGGAACAGACAGCCAUUUGGUCCCUGGGUGCACUCGGAUGCCCAGCAGCCCCUCACCCUCUGUGAGCCUCUCCUGGACCAAAUAGCGUGCCAUCUGCGUUGGUCCGGGACUCACGCUUCAGCUCUCACCCUGACUGGGGAGGGUCAGUGCACGCGCAGCGGUCAGGGCUUUUUCCCAGGAGCGGAACGAAGGAACCAGGAACCGGAUAGUCAAUUCCCCACCUCCAGGCCCUAGCCCAUUCAGGAAGGUUGAGGAGUUUGUCAGUGUGUCCACAGAGGACCUCGAAGGCGCCCCAGAAUGCCAGGAGCCCUUGCCGAGGACAACGGGGAAGGUGGAUAACCGAAAGGCUGGGCGCACUUCCCCCCUUACAGCCCCCACCCCGCAAACGGUACCCGGAAUCUGAGUAGAGCAUCCUCUCCUCACCCCAGUGCCCCCAAACCAUCUCCCAGUGGAUUCCUUGUUCCUGAGCCCAAAGCCACGUAAAAGCAAUUACAGUUUGGAGUCCCAGGAGGCAAGCAAAUGAUUACGAUUAUGGAAAGAAACGCCUAGAGUUCCCCAAAUGGUAGGGAAUGAGGAGAGCCGCCCUGGAGGCUGAGAAACCAGUGGGGACCGAGGGUAUCCCGAGAAGAGUAGUCCGUGGAAGCCACAAAGUGUCAGAAAAGAGAAGAGGGAAAGGAGCAAGAGCAAAUGCGCGUGCGCUGCUGCAAAGGGGGCGAGUAGGCGAUCCGUUGGCUGCCAAGCGAUGGGAGUCAAAGGAGAGGAGGAACGUGCGCCCCACGAGCAUCUGGCCGGUGGCGGGCUCUGCCUGGCACUAGGGUUCUUCUUUCCCAGCCUUUCACCUCCAGCAUCCCGCGCGUGCGGACUGCUUGGAGGCACACAGUGCGCUGGGGGCGCUCGCGGGCAUGGGAUGGGCGGGGUGCGGCAAAGACCAAAGAGCCCUGUGCCGCACACAGUGUAGGGCGUGCUGCACACCUGGCACUGGAGACUCACCAUCUGUUCAGAGCCGCCUCCUUGGCCCAGGGGUGUGGCCAGGAAAGAUAAGAGUACCCGUGGCAGCGAUGACUCUACACCAACUGCCACUUCAACUGCCAAUCAACAAGUAAAAAUAUACCUGGAGAUGUGUGUAUACAGUCAUGUCCUACAAAGACAAGAGAAGACCAGCACAACAGGACUCAGUGUUUUGGGAAAAGCAGAACACCACACAUUCCUGGGUGGAAGCGAACCUACAUGCUUAACAUGUCAACAUUUACAGCACAGGAGCAGCAUCCUUCAGCUCUUGGGAAAUAUGUAAUUUCAGGAUGACCUGCAAUGGAAGAAAUUCAUCAUGUUCUCAAAUUGGAAACAUGGAUGUUCCUGCCAUCUUCAGUAA
rnacentral:sRNA from 1 species